UGGGGGAUAUUGCACAAUGGGCGAAAGCCUGAUGCAGCGACGCCGCGUGGGGGAUGAAGGCCUUCGGGUUGUAAACUUCUUUUGCUCUGAACAAGGCGCACCAUGGGGUGUGUUGAGUGUAGGGGUUGAUUAGCGCCGGCUAACUACGUGCCAGCAGCCGCGGUAAUACGUAGGGCGCGAGCGUUGUCCGGAAUUAUUGGGCGUAAAGGGCUUGUAGGUGGCUGGUUGCGUCUGUCGUGAAAGCUCAUGGCUUAACUGUGGGUUUGCGGUGGGUACGGGCUGGCUUGAGUGCAGUAGGGGAGGCUGGAAUUCCUGGUGUAGCGGUGGAAUGCGCGGAUAUCAGGAGGAAUACCGGUGGCGAAGGCGGGUCUCUGGGCUGUUACUGACACUGAGGAGCGAAAGCAUGGGGAGCGAACAGG
rnacentral:rRNA from 1 species